UUGGGGGCUCUCCCAUAUGGUCGACCUGCAGGCGGCCGCGAAUUCACUAGUGAUUGUAUUACCGCGGCUGCUGGCACAGAGUUAGCCGGUGCUUAUUCUGUCGGUAACGUCAAAACACUAACGUAUUAGGUUAAUGUCCUUCCUCCCAACUUAAAGUGCUUUACAAUCCGAAGACCUUCUUCACACACGCGGCAUGGCUGGAUCAGGCUUUCGCCCAUUGUCCAAUAUUCCCCACUGCUGCCUCCCGUAGGAGUCUGGACCGUGUCUCAGUUCCAGUGUGACUGAUCAUCCUCUCAGACCAGUUACGGAUCGUCGCCUUGGUGAGCCAUUACCCCACCAACUAGCUAAUCCGACCUAGGCUCAUCUGAUAGCGCAAGGCCCGAAGGUCCCCUGCUUUCUCCCGUAGGACGUAUGCGGUAUUAGCGUCCGUUUCCGAGCGUUAUCCCCCACUACCAGGCAGAUUCCUAGGCAUUACUCACCCGUCCGCCGCUCUCAAGAGAAGCAAGCUUCUAUCUACCGCUCGACUUGCAUGUGUUAGGCCUGCCCCCAGCGUUCAAUCUGAGCCAUGAUCAAACUCUAAUCGAAUUCCCGCGGCCGCCAUGGCGCCCGG
rnacentral:rRNA from 1 species